GCACAGCGCAGCAGCAGAAUUGGCACAGCUGUGUUGAGAUGAUAGUAAGAUGUGGGGUUCACCAUCUGUGAAUACAUGAUUGUUAGAACAAACACAGGAGAUACAGAGAACAAACGUGAUUCCAGAUGUUGUGUGACGCAACAUACAGGGCCACUCAGUGGGACGACCAACUAAAGCAACUGCAAUUAAGCAUCAAGAAAGACAUGAGCAUGCCAACCACCUUGAGACUGAUAAGUCAGGGAACACAUUUCUGUCACUAACAAAGUGGAUGGUGAGCAAAGAUGGUGGCCAAAUUUUGGAGCAGAACCUGAGUUUUGCAGAUGGCUAUGUAUUUCUUUUCCCAUUAUGUUUCUGUUGCCUAAAUAUUGUUUGUGAGGAUAAAUCUAGAGAGAAUACAACACAAUGCACUGCAAAAUGUCCUAAGAAAGGAGAAAUGGUGAAGAUUAACUGUUCCAGCAUUAGAUGACUGUAUUUUUAAGUGUUAUACAUGCAAUGUUUUAAAUAAAGAAUUUGAUAUUUUGUAA